GAAACGAUUGUGUUGUGUAUUGUUUUAGGGUUGUGUUGGUGUCGGUUCGGUUCUGAUUUCCUGAUAUUUGGCUUCGAAAUCUUGGGUUUGUUCUAUUUUAUUAGAAUUUAGUUGUUAAUUUGAUUGAUGAAUCUGUUUUUCUAACCCCUCCCCUCCAUUUUCGCCGAAACUCUCGUUGGUUCUUUUGGAUCUGGGUUGCCAGAGGUUUGCUGAUUUGUGUCCCCUUUUGUGUAGGGUGCUCUAUUCCGUCGGAACAUUUUUUGUCUGAGUUCUCGCCGGAUUCUGGUUUUGGAUUUCUUGCCAGAAUCUAGGUUCAGUAUGGGUCCUUUGUUUCCGGUGGUUUUGUCUUUUGAGGACGGGUUUUGUUAGUAAAAC
rnacentral:lncRNA from 1 species